AUGGGGGUGAUGUGAGCACCCCAAGAUCAUGGGGACGAUGUGAGCACUCCAAGAUGGGGGAUUGUGUGAGCAUUCUGAGGACAUGGGGGUGGUGUGAGCACCCCAAGAACAUGGGGAUGGGGUGAGCACCCCGAGAUGGGUGAUGGUGUGAGGACCUUGGGGACAUGGGGAUGGUGUGAGCACCCCAAGAUGGGUGAUGCUUUGAUCAUUCUUGGGACACGAGGGUGAUGUGAGCACCCCAAGAACAUGGGCAUGGUGUGAGCACCCCAGGAAUGGUGAUGGUAUGAGCACCUCAAGAUCAUGGGGAUGGUGUGAGCACCCCAAGAACACGAGGAUGGUGUGAGCACCCCAAGAUGGGUGAUGGUGUGAAGACCUUGCGGACAUGGGGAUGGUGUGAGGACCUUGGGGACAUGGGGAUGGUGUGAGCACCCCAAGAAUGGUGAUGGCAUGAGCACCCCAAGGACAUGGGGACAGUAUGAGCACCCCAAGAUGGGUGAUGGUGUGAGGACCUUGGGGACAUGGGGAUGGUGUGAGCACCCCAAGGGUACGGGGUACCAUCCCCAAGAUGGGGGAUUCUGUGAGUGAGUCCUGGGGAGGGAGGCAGAGGAGGAGAAGAGUGAGAUGAACCACGAUACCUCUUGUUGGAUCCAGGGUGGCAAUAAGGCACUGGGAACCACAACGGGGUACUUGAAAAUUACUCUGAUGAUGGCACGGGAUCCUUCUGGGCUCUCUUUCACUUUGCUUCUGAGUAUCUGGAGAUGAAAAGUGACUCCAAAAGUGAUUCCCGAGCUGGAACGAGAAGCAAUCACUUCCAAACUCAAAGAAAGGCACUGAUGUUCUGCCUGGAACUGUUAUUGCUCUCCCUGCAGCAGGACGGGGCCAUGGUGGGGGGGGGAAGGAUGAGACCUGGUCCCAAGAGGUGCCCCCAAACCCAACGUGAGAUGCUGGGAUGAUGGCUGCAGGAAGCAUGGAGUGUUAGGGUGCUCUCCCACCCCCCACUCGGCCACUCAGAGCUACUGGGAGCCAUUGGGAGCCACUGGGAGCCACCAAGAGCCACUAAGAGCUAAGAGGGGCCACUGGGAGCUACUGGGAGCCAGUGAGAGCCAUUGGGAGCUAUUGGGAGCCACCAAGAGAUACUAAGAGCUAAGAGGGGAUACUGGGAGCUACUGGGACCCUUUGGGAGCCACUGGAAGCCACUGAGAGCCACUAAGAGCUAAGAGGGGAUACUGGGAGCUACUGGGAGCCAUUGAGAGCCAUUGGGAGCCACCGAGAGCCACCAAGCGCCACCAAUGGCUAGGAGGGGCCACUGGGAGCUACUGGGAGCCAUUGGAAGCCACUGAGAGCAAUUGAGAGCCACUGAGAGUCACUGAGAGCCAUUGGGAGCCACCGAGAGCUAUGGGGGGCCCUCGGGAGUGUGAGAGCAAUUGAGAGCCACCAAGAACCACCAGGAGCCACUCAGAGCCACUGAGAGCCUUUGAGAGCCACUGGGAGCGACUGGGAGCCACUGAGAGCUACUGAGAGCUAUGGGGGUGGGGGGCACUGGGAACCACUGAGAGCCACUGGAAGCCACUGGGAGCGACUGAUUGCUACUGAGAGCAACUGAGAGCCACUGAGAGUGAUCAAGAGGGGGGCUAUGGGGGGGCCAUUGGAAGCCACUGAGAACAACUGAGAGUCAGUGAGAGCCACUGAGAGCUACUGGGAGCCACUGAGGGCCACUGAGAGCUAUUGGGAGCCAUCAAGAGCUACAGGGGGCCACUGGGAGCCACUGAGAGCAAUAGAGAUCCACCAACAGCCAUCAGGAGCAAAUGAGAGUCACUGAGAGCCACUGGGAGCCAUUGAGAGCCACCAAGAUCUAUAGGGAGGGGGCACUGAGAGUGAUUGAGAGCCACUGGGAGCCACUGAGAGCCAUUGGGAGUGAUUGAGAGCCACUGAGAGGCAGCAAGAGCUAUGGGGGGACAUUAGGAGCCACUGAGAGUAACUGAGAGCCACCAAGAGCCACCGGGAGCCACUGAGAGCAAUUGAGAGCCACUGGGAGUCACUGAGAGCUACUGGGGGCCACUGAGAGUCACUGAGAGCAACUGAAGGUCAGUGAGAGCCACUGAGAGCUACAGGGGGCCACUGGGAGCCACUGAGGGCCACCAAGAGCUUCGGGGGGCCAUUGGGUGCCACUGGGAGCAAUUGAGAGCCACCAAGAGCUACUGGGUGCCACUGAGCGUGAUUGAGAGCCACUGGGAGCCACUAGGAGCCACCAAGAGCCACCAAGAGCCACCGAGGGCCACUGGGAGUCACUGCGAGGUGCCGACAGCCAUUCAGAGCCCCUGGGGGAUGCGUGGCUCCAUCUGGGAUGUCCCAUCCCGAGUUGGGUUCCAUGAGGACCGGGAGACGCAGCACCGGACAGCGGCGAGAAGUCACCGCUGUUAUCAGAACCCACCAACAAUGGGAGAUCCCUUACAGCUCGGCCAGGGCAGCCCCGCAGCUUUCAGAGAGCUCUGAACAACCAGCAAGGAGAACGGAGCCGCCCAGAAAAGGUUUUUAAUAGUCGACAUCUGUCCAAACAGAUGGGGAAAUAAUAAAGAGACGGGGGGAGAAUGCGCCCUUUACGCGGAGAUGCCCCCACAGCUCCCACGGAGAGACACAAAAAGACAUUUUGCACGCAGUGCAUCUCACCAACAUCUUUAUACACAGGCUGGGAAAAGGCGACAGGUAACAGUCAUUGGGAAAGGGUCAACCUUUGUACAACGCUCGAUGGAGAGGUCGGAGCGGUACCGUAAUGCCCUUCCAGCAGUGAGGUAAGUGAGCUCUGGGUGAGAUAAGUGAACACGUUGGGGCUUCGUUGCUCACGAUCCAUCCGGCAGGAGGUUUCUGUGCAUACGUACGUAGCAAGAGCUGCUCGGGGUCCUGGGAACGGCCCAUCGGAUGGCACCGCCGGCAGCUGCCACGGAGGGAAACCAUCACCCAGAGGUCACCUCCUCACUCCCUGCGGCCUGCCAACUUCAGCCACACCACCGAAACGCAUUUGCAGAGAUGGUUUAACGCACGGCGUGUGCUUCUGGAGGCUCCCGCUUCAGCUCAGACCUAUAGAAACGGUGCAUAAUCCUGGAGAGAAGCUAAGGCACUGUCCAUAAUUAGCUAACGACGCACGGCUGCCCCGACCGAAGGUUUCUUUUUGCAAUUUGCCAUGCAGAGGUAAAAUCGCAGCCCAAACCCUCCUUGUGAACGGUUUUGGAACCUGCCAACCCUGUGCUCAGAGCUCGCAGCGCCCGGCUGGGCCGUGGCACGCUGUAAUAAGAGGGAUUGAUCACCUACGUGUGGGUUGGAGAGAGGACCUCACCUCUCCGGGGACCAGCAAUGGGAUUCCAGCCCGGAACUCAACGCUACACUUUCCCCCCAGGUAUGGAGAGGGAAUGCAGCACCGGCAAUCUGCCUUCGCUGCUCUUAGUGUGCAGCGAGGAAGAAUUCAAGCACGAGGUCCAAUUAAAAACCAAAGCAAAGAGAAACGUUGAUUCGACCCCC
rnacentral:lncRNA from 1 species